UAAUGGAAUUUCUACAUCGCAGUAGUUGGAAAAAAGAUGUUUUCUCAUGAAUAUACGUUUAAAAUAAGUAAACACUAAAUGUGCACACCGACAGUUGAUUACGAUACAUCUAAGAAAUUGAGUCAUUACAGUAAAACAUGGAAUAUAAGUGAAUUAUACGCGUAAGAGAAGAUUUUCUGUCGAAAAAACGAAUGUCAACAAUCAGCAUGGAACUGGGAUAUUCGUAUCAAAAGGCUAUUCAUGCAGGAAAAGGACUGAAUAUUACUAUUAUAUAAAGAAUUCCAGCCUGCAUUAAAUACUUUGUUGGAUCAUUGAGACAGAUUUGACAUCCAUGUCUAUCCACAAGGCAGUCACAUCUGAAAGAGAUGAUCACUAAACAUUCUAGAUGGGUAAAGAACCUGAAGGGGCAUGAAAACCAAAUCAGCAUUGACUCAGUAUUGAGAAUUAUCAUCUGUGCACACACUACAAGUACAAACGCAUGGGAACAAACCAAACAUCAAAUGUUGAAGAGUGAAGAAUUAUUGUGAAAAAUUCUAAAUGUUAGAAUACCAUUGACUAAAUAAAACAAAUAGACAUCGAUUACCAACAGAGACUGUUUACAUGUUAUAAUAUUAAAAAGACAUUAGUUGAGAUCUUUCACUUUGACAUUUUUGGAGGGGCAUUACCGCCUACUUAGUGUUCUUGUUUUUUUACAUAUUUAAAUUUAAAAGUACAUACAUUGUUUUUAAAUCUGAAUUCUGAGUUAGUAUCAUAAGUAAAAUUCAUUUAUUUGAAUGAUUACAUUUUAUGAAUAAGUCCAAUUAAGCUUUAUCAAUUUUUACAAGAAAAAGGUUGAUUUUUAAGCAUUUUUAGUUAUAAAAAUGUAUAGUUACAUGACAUUAUGUAUAUUUUCUUCAAAACUGAAUGGUAAACUAUCAUAAAUUGUCUUUUUAAUUGUUCAUUAGACAUCAUAGAAAAUAUUUAAAAUGAUUUCAGCAGGUUGUCUUAUUAUUAACUAUUUUUUAUGAAUUUAUAAAACUGCUAUAUAUUUUCAAACAUCGAAAUACUGCUCUGUUCCGAAGACUCACAAGAUCAAUCAAAAUGAUUUUUUUCCAUGUGUAUCAAUAAUAUGUUCGGUUGAACUUAAUUUUUCUGUAAACUGAAGUAUAUUUUACCAGAAACUGUUGUGUUUAUUUCAUAAUCUCUGAUAAUGUGGAAAAAAAAAUCAAAUAUAGACAAAAUAUUUUUAAUUCACGAUAAAAAAAUCUUCAAAAUUUGGAUAAAAGUCCCAUAGUGUACCAUGAUAAUAACUAUGUUGUCGGUUAAAGCUUUAUAAAAGUGUGUAUUACUUAUACCUUAAUUCAGUUUAAAUAAUUAUGGCCUUUAAGGAUUUUUGUUUUCAUAUAGAUUUCCUAUUAUAUUGAGCUUUGUCAAUUUUUAGCUCUACUGGCCAAUGUGUACGUAGUAUGUGCAUCCGUGCGUCUGUAAACAAUUGGUUGUGAACACGAUACAGUCUUCAGUUUUGAUUGUAUCUUGAUGAACAUUGUACAGUAUUUAGAUAUCCAUUAGAGCUCGGUUCCUUUUGAAAACCAGCCAGAUCCGCCCAUGCAUGCCUAGAUUAUGGCCCUUGAUAGUAUAAAAAAAUGCUAUUGUGUAAACACUAGCUUGUGAACACGAUACAGUCUUCAGUUUUGAUUGUAUCUCGAUGAAACUUGUACAGUAUUUAGAUAUCCAUUAGAGCUCUUUUUUUUCAAAAACCAGCCAGAUCCGACCGUACAUGCCUAGAUUAUGGGCCUUGAAAGUAUUAAAAAAUCAGUUUGUCUGUAAACAAUUGCUUGUGAACAUGAUACAGUCUUCAGUUUUGAUUGUAUCUCGAUUUGUACAGUAUUUAGAUAUCCAUUAGAGCUCGGUUCCUUUCGAAAACCAGCCAGAUCCGACCAUGCAAGCCUAGAUUAUGGACCUUGAAAGUAUUAAAAAAUCAGUUUGUCUGUAAACAAUUGCUUGUGAACAUGAUACAGUCUUCAGUUUUGAUUGUAUCUCGAUGAAAUUUGUGCAGUAUUUAGAUAUCCAUUAGAGCUCGGGUUUUUUUGAAAACCAGCCAGAUCUGCACAUGCAUGCCUGGAUUAUGGGUCUUUAAAGUAUAAAAAAUUUAAUUUGAAGCUUAGUCUAUUUUUAGCCAAGUCUACAUGAGUGAAGUCUAUUUUUAGCCAAGUUUACAUGUAAAGUCACAAUUGCUUGUGAAGGUUUGUUCAAAUAAUGCCCCUGGGGUCAUUACUGCCCCCCCCCCCCCCCCCCCCCCCCACGGAGAUUGUCCCGCAAGGGACCAGUGCGACAAAUGCAAACGACCUCGGCGACGUUGGCGGAGGCCCAGGGAAGAGUUCUCUUUUCUUUGUAAGGGACGGAGCCCCCCCCCCCCCCCCUUAAAUAUAAAACCUUUUUGUCUGAAACCACUAUGCAAAUCCUUGCUAUUUUGAACAAGGCUUUAUUAAGUGGUCCACUACCAUGGUUGUUCAAAUUAUGCCCCUUGGGUCAAAACUGGCACUGCCCUGGGUGUCACUAUUUUCCUAAAGACUUGUUAAAGAAAUAUUUUCAAAAUCUUCUUGUUUCAAACCACAAGGCCUAUACCUUUGAUGUUUGUUGUGGAGCAUCAUAUGAUGCAAUUGAAAACAUUUGAAAUAAUGCCCCUUGGGCAAAAGCUGGCCCCACCCCUUUUGACUUACUUAUUAAUUUUUAAAGCUACGGUAAUGAAAUUUUGACCAUGUGAACAGUUUUGCAAACAAGCAUUAAUGUUGUCCUUGGAUGUCCUUGACUUUGACCUUUGACCGACUUUUUAUUUUUAAAGCUACAGAAUUGAAAUUUUGACCAUGAGUACAGUUUUGAAAGCAAAUAUUUUCUACCCUCAGAUUACCUUUACUUGGCACAUAUGAAAAUAGUUCAUGCAACUAAUCUGCUUACAACACUUCAUGUCCUCAGAUGUUGAACGUGCAGCACUUCCUGUCAGUCAAUUUGAUGUGUGUUAUAAAUACAAUUAUAUGUAUUGAUAUCAAAUAAGAGUUUCACUUUAAAGAUGCUCAUUUAAAGAUAAUGAACAGACACACAAAAACUAGACCCAUUUGAUACUAAUUAUAUGAAUGAUUAUUGUUUUGGUGACCUCUGAUUUGUUUUGGAGAUAUUUAUAAAUGGGUGUUAUUCUUUGUUGUCUUCAGUUUCUUAUACAUUUAAGGAUUUUUAUAAUUGCUUUUCUGGUAUAUAUUACAAUGUAAUUUAAUGCAAAUGAAAACACACUUUAAACUAGACACAUUUGAUACUAAUGAUAUAAAUGAUUAUUGUUUACAUGUACUCUGAUUUGUUAUGAAGAUAUUCAUUAAGGGGUGUUCUUCAUGUUAUUAUACAUUUUGGACUUGAUUUAGUAUUGCUUUUCUGGUAUAUAUUCAUUUAAUGCACAAAGAAAUUAUUUUAAGUGUUCAGUAUCACUUUCA